AAGGCUUUAAGUUAAUUAAACUAAUAGCCUUCAAAGCUGUAAAUAAAGAGGGUUAUUCUUUAAGCCUUA
rnacentral:tRNA from 1 species